rnacentral:lncRNA from 1 species
UAAAAUUCAACUCUGAAUUGACCCUGAUGAAAGCAUAUGUAGAGAAGCCAAAUGUCUCAAAUUCUGAAAGGUCAGAAUCUAAUGACUCUGAAUGUGUAGUUCAGCUUAUGAAGGAACAACAUCUAAUUAUGGUAUCCCUGCCUCUGGUGACAGCUCAGACUCUGGAUACCUCAGUUUAAGGUGCUCAACUUCUGGUCCGUACUCUAUCUCCAUAGCAUGCCUAUCUUGUCAACA